rnacentral:rRNA from 1 species
UACAGAGGUCUCAAGCGUUGUUCGGAUUCAUUGGGCGUAAAGGGUGCGUAGGUGGCGCCGUAAGUCAGGUGUGAAAUUUCGGAGCUUAACUCCGAAACUGCAUUUGAUACUGCGGUGCUUGAGGACUGGAGAGGAGACUGGAAUUCACGGUGUAGCAGUGAAAUGCGUAGAUAUCGUGAGGAAGACCAGUGGCGAAGGCGGGUCUCUGGACAGUUCCUGACACUGAGGCACGAAGGCCAGGGGAGCAAACGGG